AGGAGCUAUAGCCCUCGUUAUCGCUCUCCAAGGCGCUGUACUCCUUCACCGGCUCGUGGACGCAGCUAUAGCAGGUCGCCAUAGUACAACUGUGACAAAUAUGCAUCUCCCUCGUUAACGGAGUAAUGAUGGCAGAUACUGGUGUAGCAGGAGCUUGGCCUGAAGCCCGUGCCUGAUUCUUCUCUGUGUGAGGACUUGGUUCUUGGUUUGGCUGUGGGGAACAAAUUUGGAACUGUCGUCAACUGCAUGACUUCAGUUCAGGUUUAAAACCUUAUCUAGCUUAUUGUGAUUGUCUUGAUUAUGCCAUUAAAGAACUUUUAAGAUUUGUGUAUUAUGCCACUAAGACAUAUUACCUUCUGUGUUAAAAAUGCAUGUUCUGCUUAAACGACUCGGCCAACUAUGGCUCUCAGUUGUAGUCUUCAUGGUUUUGUUCCUCCAUUCUUGGCACGUCCUUAUCUGCAAAUGAAUGUCAACCUUCCAUUACUAUCUGCCUGCGAUGUUUCAUCAUGAAA